rnacentral:rRNA from 1 species
ACGUUAGCGGCGGACGGGUGAGUAACACGUGGGCAACCUACCUAUAAGACUGGGAUAACUUCGGGAAACCGGAGCUAAUACCGGAUAAUAUUUCGAACCGCAUGGUUCGAUAGUGAAAGAUGGUUUUGCUAUCACUUAUAGAUGGACCCGCGACGUAUUAGCUAGUUGGUAAGGUAACGGCUUACCAAGGCGACGAUACGUAGCCGACCUGAGAGGGUGAUAGGCCACACUGGAACUGAGACACGGUCCAGACUCCUACGGGAGGCAGCAGGU